rnacentral:rRNA from 1 species
AUUGAACGCUGGCGGCAGGCCUAACACAUGCAAGUCGAACGCGUGUCGCGCGCGUGAGUGAUGUCUGUGGAACUCCCCGAUGUAGGGGGGUAACAACUGUAAACGCUAUCUCUUACCCCAUACCCUCGCAUGUGCCCCGAUGGGAUUAGCUUUUAGGUGUGGGAACGGCUCACCUAGGCGACGAUCCCUAGCUUGUCUGAGAGUAUGACCAGCCACACGGGAACUGAGACACGGUCCAGACGCCUACGGGAGGCAGCAGUGGGGAAUAUUGCACAAUGGGCGCAAGCCUGAUGCAGCCAUGCCGCGUGUAUGAAGAAGGCCUUCGGGUUGUAAAGUACUUUCAGCGGGGAGGCGUUACCCGCAGAAGAAGCACCGGCUAACUCCGUGCCAGCAGCCGCGGUAAUAC